CCUCCUGCACCCCCCCCCGGGGCAGCCCUGGCCGGGGCAGCUGGGGGGGCCACGGGCGCCCAUGCCAGGGCAGAUGCUGCUGCCCCCCGGCCCGCGGGGCCCCGUCCCCCCGGGGGGGCUCCAGCCCGUGCAGACCCCCAGCGAGAUGGAGGAGGACAUCCUGAUGGACCUCAUCUAGGGGGGACCCCCAAAUUCGGGGUGAGGACCCCAACAUUUGGGGUGGAAACCCCAAAAAAAACCCCAAAAAUACAAAAAUAUCCCAAAAACCCCCAAAAUCACCCCAAAAACACAACGGGAACCCCCCAAAUCAGGGUCUGCAGACCCUCAGGAGAUGGAGGAGAACAUCCUGAUGGACCUCAUCUAGAGGGGACCCAAAAUUCGGGUUGAGGACCCCAAAAUUUGGGGUGAAAACCCCAAAAAACCCUAAAAAAUACAAAAAUAUCCCAAAAAUCCCCACAAAAAACCCCAAACCACCCCAAAACCACCCCAAAUCAGGGUCUGCAGACCCCCAGGAGAUGGAGGAGGACAUCCUGAUGGACCUCAUCUAGGGGGGACCCCAAAUUCGGGGUGAGGACCCCAAAAUUUGGGGUGAAAACCCAAAAAUUUGGGGUGGAAACCCCAAAAAACCCUAAAAAAUACAAAAAUAUCCCAAAAAUCCCCACAAAAAAGCCCAAAAAACCCCAAACCACCCCAAAUCAGGGCCUGCAGACCCCCAGGAGAUGGAGGAGGACAUCCUGAUGGACCUCAUCUAGGGGGGACCCCAAAUUCGGGGUGAGGACCCCAAAAUUUGGGGUGAAAACCC